GUCAGUGUGGUGUAGUGUUUUGAGGUUGGAUUAUGACUCUGGAGACCAGAGUUCGAAUCCCUGCCUAGCCA